rnacentral:lncRNA from 1 species
CCGAGCGAGCCACGCGCAGCCGGGUAUCCAGAACCUUCCCCGCAGAAACCUCGCCUGGGACUACAACUCCCAGGCUGCAUCGGGCCGGGAAGCUAGCCAAUCAGGAAGCGCGGCCUCGCUUUCACCGCCCGCUUCUCUGGUCUGGCGGUCUGGACUUGGGCGACGGUUGGGCAGGUGGGUUCUGAGAGGAGCUGAGGUUUCCUCAGGCCAUUGUCACCCCAAGCGCCUUUUACUUUAUCCUAAUCCGGUUUGGGAAGAGGCUCUUAAGUGAGUCACGAGAAAUAGGAUACAUUUCCCCGGGUCAGGAGGAGGCAGAGGCAAAAAACUGACUUAAAGGUUAGUUGGUUUUCCUUGUUUUGGACAAGCAUCCAGACCUCUAACUGCACAUCUUUCACCUUGCCAAAGUUGUGUGCUAAUCGUGGUUUGUUUUUCAAGUCAUUGUAAGAGAUUUAAAUGGUGAAGGUUUCUAAUGGAAUACUUCUUUCUGUUGUCAUAUCUGACAGAAUUGCUGAAAUAC